GGGGGAUCCUACGGGAGGCAGCAGUGGGGAAUAUUGGACAAUGGGGGAAACCCUGAUCCAGCCAUGCCGCGUGUGUGAAGAAGGCCUUUUGGUUGUAAAGCACUUUUAGCAGU
rnacentral:rRNA from 1 species